AGAGUCCCAGUACACCAACCCA
rnacentral:miRNA from 1 species